UACGUAGGGUGCGAGCGUUGUCCGGAAUUAUUGGGCGUAAAGAGCUCGUAGGCGGCUUGUCGCGUCGGAUGUGAAAGCCCGGGGCUUAACUCCGGGUCUGCAUUCGGUACGGGCAGGCUAGAGUUCGGUAGGGGAGAUCGGAAUUCCUGGUGUAGCGGUGAAAUGCGCAGAUAUCAGGAGGAACACCGGUGGCGAAGGCGGGUCUCUGGGCAGUAACUGACGCUUAGGAGCGAAAGCGUGGGGAGCGAACAGG
rnacentral:rRNA from 1 species